rnacentral:rRNA from 1 species
GAUUGAAAGCUGGCGCCUUCGGCGUCCGCAUUGUAAUCUCAAGAAGUGUUUUCCGUUUCGGACCAUGCCUAAGUCCCUUGGAAAAGGGCAUCAUAGAGGGUGAUAAUCCCGUACAUGGCAUGGAGCGCCCGAAGCUUUGUGAUACGCUUUCUAAGAGUCGAGUUGUUUGGGAAUGCAGCUCAAAAUGGGUGGUAAAUGCCAUCUAAGGCUAAAUAUUGGGGAGAGACCGAUAGCGAACAAGUACAGUGAUGGAAAGAUGAAAAGAACUUUGAAAAGAGAGUUAAACAGUACGUGAAAUUGCCAAAAGGGAAGGGUAGGAGGUCAGAGAUGCGUCGCAGGAUUCAGCCUUGCUUUUGCUUGGUGUUUUUCCUGCGUUGCAGGCCAACGUCGGUUUUGGGCACUGGAGAAGGGUAGGAGGAACGUGGCACCUCUCGGGGUGUGUUAUAGCCUCCUACUGGAUACAGCGACCGAGACCGAGGAACGCAGCGUACUCGUAAGAGCGGGCCUUUUGGCACCUUUACGCUUAGGGCGUUGGCAUAAUGGCCCUCUACCACCCGUCUUG